GAUGAACGCUGGCGGCGUGCCUAAUACAUGCAAGUCGAGCGAACAGACGAGGAGCUUGCUCCUCUGACGUUAGCGGCGGACGGGUGAGUAACACGUGUAUAACCUACCUAUAAGACUGGGAUAACUUCGGGACACCGGAGCUAAUACCGGAUAAUAUAUUGAACCGCAUGGUUCAAUAGUGAAAGACGGUUUUGCUGUCACUUAUAGAUGGAUCCGCGCCGCAUUAGCUAGUUGGUAAGGUAACGGCUUACCAAGGCAACGAUGCGUAGCCGACCUGAGAGGGUGAUCGGCCACACUGGAACUGAGACACGGUCCAGACUCCUACGGGAGGCAGCAGUAGGGAAUCUUACGCAAUGGGCGAAAGCCUGACGGAGCAACGCCGCGUGAGUGAUGAAGGUCUUCGGAUCGUAAAACUCUGUUAUUAGGGAAAAACAAAUGUGUAAGUAACUAUGCACGUCUUGACGGUACCUAAUCAGAAAGCCACGGCUAACUACGUG
rnacentral:rRNA from 1 species